rnacentral:rRNA from 1 species
GACGAACGCUGGCGGCGUGCCUAAUACAUGCAAGUAGAACGCUGAAGAGAGGAGCUUGCUCUUCUUGGAUGAGUUGCGAACGGGUGAGUAACGCGUAGGUAACCUGCCUUGUAGCGGGGGAUAACUAUUGGAAACGAUAGCUAAUACCGCAUAACAAUGGAUGACACAUGUCAUUUAUUUGAAAGGGGCAAUUGUUCCACUACAAGAUGGACCUGCGUUGUAUUAGCUAGUAGGUGAGGUAAUGGCUCACCUAGGCGACGAUACAUAGCCGACCUGAGAGGGUGAUCGGCCACACUGGGACUGAGACACGGCCCAGACUCCUACGGGAGGCAGCAGGAGGGAAUCUUCGGCAAUGGGGGCAACCCUGACCGAGCAACGCCGCGUGAGUGAAGAAGGUUUUCGGAUCGUAAAGCUCUGUUGUAAGUCAAGAACGGGUGUGAGAGUGGAAAGUUCACACUGUGACGGUAGCUUACCAGAAAGGGACGGCUAACUACGUG